rnacentral:rRNA from 1 species
GAUGAACGCUGGCGGCGUGCCUAAUACAUGCAAGUCGAACGCAUUGUGGUUGAAAUGAUAUGAAGAACUUGUUCAGAUUUGAUUUUAAACAUUGCAAUGAGUGGCGAACGGGUGAGUAACACGUGGGAAACCUACCUCUUAGCAGGGGAUAACAUUUGGAACAAAUGCUAAUACCGUAUAAUAAUUAAAACCGCAAUGGUUUUAGUUUAAAAGAUGGUCUUGCUAUCACUAAGAGAUGGUCCCGCGGUGUAUUAGUUAGUUGGUGAGGUAAUGGCUCACCAAGCAAUGAUACAUAGCCGAGUUGAGAGACUGACCGGCCACAAUGGGACUGAGACACGGCCCAUACUCC